UAGGGCUCUUUUGGGUCUUAUAAUUGGAAUGAGUACAAUUUAAAUCCCUUAACGAGGAACAAUUGGAGGGCAAGUCUGGUGCCAGCAGCCGCGGUAAUUCCAGCUCCAAUAGCGUAUAUUAGACUUGUUGCAGUUAAAAAGCUCGUAGUUGUAUUUCAGCCUCGCGUUUUUUCCCUCUUUUCGGGUCUUUUCGCUGGCUUUUUUUUUACUUUGAGAAAAUUAGAGCGUUUCAAGCAGACUUUUGUCUUGAAUACUUCAGCAUGGAAUAAUAGAGUAGGACCUUGGUUCUAUUUUGUUGGUUUCGAGCCUUGGUAAUGGUUAAUAGGAACGGUUGGGGGCAUUCGUAUUUAACUGUCAGAGGUGAAAUUCUUAGAUUUGUUAAAGACGAACCACUGCGAAAGCAUUUGCCAAGGACGUUUUCAUUAAUCAAGAAC
rnacentral:rRNA from 1 species